rnacentral:rRNA from 1 species
GAUGAACGCUGGCGGCGUGCUUAACACAUGCAAGUCGAACGGUGAACGAGGGAGCUUGCUCCUUCCGGAUCAGUGGCGAACGGGUGAGUAACACGUGAGCAAUCUGCCCCGAACUCUGGGAUAAGCGCUGGAAACGGCGUCUAAUACCGGAUACGACGCGCGAAGGCAUCUUCUGCGCGUGGAAAGAAUUUCGGUUCGGGAUGAGCUCGCGGCCUAUCAGCUAGUUGGUGAGGUAACGGCUCACCAAGGCGACGACGGGUAGCCGGCCUGAGAGGGUGACCGGCCACACUGGGACUGAGACACGGCCCAGACUCCUACGGGAGGCAGCAGUGGGGAAUAUUGCACAAUGGGCGCAAGCCUGAUGCAGCAACGCCGCGUGAGGGACGACGGCCUUCGGGUUGUAAACCUCUUUUAGUGGGGAAGAAGCGAAAGUGACGGUACCUGCAGAAAAAGCACCGGCUAACUACGUGCCAGCCGCCGCUGUAACAC